UUUUAUUCUUUAUUUACAAGAUGAAAUUGACUUUGGUCUAAAAAUGUGUUGUUUUAACAGAACAGCCUUCUGUGCACCAACUACACGUAACAGCCUGUAAAUAACAGCUCAGCUGCAGUCUAUUUGUGCACCUACAACAUCCCAACACCUGCUGAUGUCCCCACUCUCAGUGUGAAAGUCCACACAGAGGUGGAGCCCACAGUUAUCAAAGGACACACCAUCAACCACAGAGAUCAUCCAGGAGCUCCCAGUGGACGACCUGAAGCCAGCCGUGGUCCAGAUCUAUGACGACUACCAACCAGGUCCAAGUCUGACUAAGCUUUACUCCAACAGCUCACUGACACACUUCAGAGGAUCCAUCAGACUGAACAGUUCAUACAAGCUGA